UACCUCUCUCUACUCGAUACGGCUGU
rnacentral:piRNA from 1 species